UACGUAGGGGGUGAGCGUUGUCCGAAUUUACUGGGCGUAAAGAGCGCGUAGGCGGGUCUUUAAGUGAGUGGUGAAAGCUCGGGGCUCAACCCCGAUAGUGCCGUUCAUACUGGGGACCUUGAGUGUGGGAGAGGCGAGUGGAAUUUCUGGUGUAGCGGUGAAAUGCGUAGAUAUCAGAAGGAACACCCAUGGCGAAGGCAGCUCGCUGGCCUACAACUGACGCUGAGGCGCGAAAGCGUGGGGAGCAAACAGG
rnacentral:rRNA from 1 species